ensembl:snRNA U6 U6 spliceosomal RNA
GUGCUCACUUUGGCAGCACGUAUACUGUAAUUGGAAAGAUACAGAGAAGAUUAGCAUGGCCUCUGGGCAAGGAUGACAUGCAAAUUCAUGAAACAUUACAUAUUUUU